rfam:Cephalotus follicularis DNA, scaffold: scaffold30, isolate: St1.
ACAACAUGAUGGGGGCAUUUUCUGAUGAGGUCCUUUAAUCUUUGCCAUGACUUAUGGAACUGCUCACCAUCUUGCUGUGAAAAGCUAGUGAGAGCUUGCCUUAUUUGGUUGU